UACGAAGGGUGCAAGCGUUACUCGGAAUUACUGGGCGUAAAGCGUGCGCAGGCGGUUUUGUAAGACUGUCGUGAAAUCCCCGGGCUUAACCUGGGAAUGGCGAUGGUGACUGCAAGGCUAGAGUUUGGCAGAGGGGGGUAGAAUUCCACGUGUAGCAGUGAAAUGCGUAGAGAUGUGGAGGAACACCGAUGGCGAAGGCAGCCCCCUGGGUCAAAACUGACGCUCAUGCACGAAAGCGUGGGGAGCAAACAGG
rnacentral:rRNA from 1 species